rnacentral:rRNA from 1 species
AGUGGGGAAUAUUGGACAAUGGGCGCAAGCCUGAUCCAGCCAUGCCGCGUGAGUGACGAAGGCCUUAGGGUUGUAAAGCUCUUUUGGCGGGGACGAUAAUGACGGUACCCGCAGAAUAAGCCCCGGCUAACUUCGUGCCAGCAGCCGCGGUAAUACGAAGGGGGCUAGCGUUGUUCGGAAUCACUGGGCGUAAAGCGCACGUAGGCGGACUUUCAAGUCAGGGGUGAAAUCCCGGGGCUCAACCUCGGAACUGCCUUUGAUACUGUUGGUCUCGAGUCCGGAAGAGGUGGGUGGAAUUCCUAGUGUAGAGGUGAAAUUCGUAGAUAUUAGGAAGAACACCGGUGGCGAAGGCGGCCCACUGGUCCGGUACUGACGCUGAGGUGCGAAAGCGUGGGGAGCAAA